GCCUCCAUCAGAGCAUGGCUGUCCUGGUGCUGCUUCUCUGCCUGGUCACCUUUCCAAGCUGUGUCCUGUCCCAGGUGGAGCUGAAGGAGUCAGGACCUGACCUGGUGCAGCCCUCACAGACCCUGUCCCUCACCUGCACUGUCUCUGGGUUUUCGUUAACUGACUAUAGUGUACAGUGGGUUUGCCAGCCUCCAGGAAAAGGACUGGAGUGGAUUGGAGGAAUAUGGGGUGAUGGAAGCACAGCAGAUAAUUCAGCUCUCAAAUCCCGACUGAGCAUCACCAGGGACACUUCCAAGAGCCAAGUUUUCUUAAAACUGAACACUCUGAAAACUGAAGACACAGGCACAUACUACUGUGCCAGGCACAGUGAAAGAAAUCCAGUGUGA